ACACCCGUUCCCAUACCGAACACGGAAGUUAAGCUCUUCAGCGCCGAUGGUAGUUGGGGGCUGUCCCCCUGCAAGAGUAGGACGUUGCCAAGC
rnacentral:rRNA from 1 species